AAGUCGUAACAAGGUUUCCGUAGGUGAACCUGCGGAAGGAUCAUUAGAGAAACGAGGCAAAGGGCGGCCCAACCGCCGCCCGGAGCCGAUCCUCUCCACCCUGCCUUUUUGAAAACCUCACCUCCUCCCCGGCCUCCGCGCCGGGCUGGCUUACUUGAAAAAACCUUGCAGUUAUAGUCUAUUCAGUUAUUUUAAACAAAAUUACAACUUUCAACAAUGGAUCUCUUGGCUCUG
rnacentral:misc_RNA from 1 species